rnacentral:tRNA from 1 species
GGGGCCAUAGGGUAGCCUGGCAUCCUUCCAGCUUUGGGAGCUGGGGACCUGAGUUCGAAUCUCAGUGGCCCCG